rnacentral:lncRNA from 1 species
AGAAGCUCCUAUACUCAGGACCUUCCCAGACUUCCCCCAAGUGUCUCUUCAUCUGGUUGUUCAUCUGUAUCCUUUAUCAUAUCCUGUCAUAAACUGGUCAAGCCCAACCCUUUGAGGUGGGUCCUGUUAUCUCCAAAUUAUAGAUGAGAAGACUGAGGGUCAGAAAGGAGCUGUUGCUUGGAACAGGUUAACACAGAACUCAACCCCAGGACCAAACCCAGAGGGGACUUAGGAAAAGCCCCCCAGCAUGUGACUGUAUGUUUCAGUUGUGGGUCCUUCUAGUUGUGGCAUGUGGGACGCCGCCUCAGUAUGGCCUGAUGAGAAGCGCCAGUUCUGCGCCCAGGAUCCGAACCAGCAAAACCCUGGGCCACUGAAGCAGAUCAUGUGAACUUAACCACUCGGCCACGGGGCCGGCCCCAAGAAAUAACUUUUGAAAAUUUAAAACAUGCUUGCCAUAAUAAAACUUGCAAUAGAUGGUUUGGAAAAUAAACUUGGUGAAAUCUCCAGAAUGUGGAACAAAACGUCAAAAAGAAAAAUAUAUGAGAGGAAAGAGGCUACUUAAAGAAAUAAUUCAAGAAGUUCAACAUCCAAACAGUUGGCAUUCUGGAAAGAGGAAAGAGAAAAACAAAGGCAAAGGAGUUAUCAAAGAAAGAAUCAAAGAGAAUUUCCCAAGGGCAUGGGCUGGCCAUGUGGAGGCCCUACUGUAUGUCAUGUACCACGUGAUACCGGGGCUGUAAGAGACACAGUCCUGCCACAUGGUGCUGAGAGUCUUGGGAGACAGAGAGACAGAAACCAAGCAGUUGCACAAAUUAAUGUAAAAUUGCAACGAGAAUACACAUCACAAAGAAGGCUAUGGAAACUUAGGCCAGAGAAGGGUCUCUGAGACAGGGACAUCUGAGGCCAGAAGUAAUCAGGCAGGAGAGGGAGGGAGGAAUGUUUGGGGCAAGCGGAACAGCAUCUGCAAAGACAGUGUGGCCAGAGGGAGCAUGAUGAGCUUGAGGAGCUGAAAGAAGGCCUGUGAGCCUGGACUACCAAGAAGCUUCCUAGGUGUUGUGGUGGGUAAGGGGUUGGGCAGACCACACGGGGCUCUGAGGGCCCAAGAGCAGUAAGAAGCCAGGUCUUAGAAACCAAAGCAGGUCCCUAGGGAGAAAGGAAAUGCUUUCUAUUCCUUCUGGACACCAGGACCAAGAAACAAAGC